rnacentral:rRNA from 1 species
AAGACCUUGCGCUUUUGGAGCGGCCGAMGCCUGAUUAGCUUGUUGGUAAGGUAAAAGCUUACCAAGGCUUCGAUCAGUAGCUGGUCUGAGAGGACGGCCAGCCACACUGGGACUGAGACACGGCCCAGACUCCUACGGGAGGCAGCAGUGGGGAAUUUUGGACAAUGGGGGCAACCCUGAUCCAGCCAUGCCGCGUGAGUGAAGAAGGCCUUCGGGUUGUAAAGCUCUUUCAGCCGGAACGAAACGGUUACGGUUAAUACCUGUGAUUACUGACGGUACCGGAAGAAGAAGCACCGGCUAACUACGUGCCAGCAGCCGCGGUAAUACGUAGGGUGCGAGCGUUAAUCGGAAUUACUGGGCGUAAAGCGUGCGCAGGUGGUUUUGUAAGUCAGAUGUGAAAGCCCCGGGCUCAACCUGGGAACU